AUGAACGCUGGCGGCGUGCCUAAUACAUGCAAGUCGAGCGAACGGACGAGAAGCUUGCUUCUCUGAUGUUAGCGGCGGACGGGUGAGUAACACGUGGAUAACCUACCUAUAAGACUGGGAUAACUUCGGGAAACCGGAGCUAAUACCGGAUAAUAUUUUGAACCGCAUGGUUCAAAAGUGAAAGACGGUCUUGCUGUCACUUAUAGAUGGAUCCGCGCUGCAUUAGCUAGUUGGUAAGGUAACGGCUUACCAAGGCAACGAUGCAUAGCCGACCUGAGAGGGUGAUCGGCCACACUGGAACUGAGACACGGUCCAGACUCCUACGGGAGGCAGCAGUAGGGAAUCUUCCGCAAUGGGCGAAAGCCUGACGGAGCAACGCCGGGUGAGUGAUGAAGGCCUUCGGAUCGUAAAACUCUGUUAUUAGGGAAGAACAUAUGUGUAAGUAACUGUGCACAUCUUGACGGUACCUAAUCAGAAAGCCACGGCUAACUACGUG
rnacentral:rRNA from 1 species